rnacentral:rRNA from 1 species
AUUGAACGCUGGCGGCAGGCUUAACACAUGCAAGUCGAGCGGGGUGAUGGUGCUUGCACUAUCACUUAGCGGCGGACGGGUGAGUAAUGCUUAGGAAUCUGCCUAUUAGUGGGGGACAACAUCUCGAAAGGGAUGCUAAUACCGCAUACGUCCUACGGGAGAAAGCAGGGGAUCACUUGUGACCUUGCGCUAAUAGAUGAGCCUAAGUCGGAUUAGCUAGUUGGUGGGGUAAAGGCCUACCAAGGCGACGAUCUGUAGCGGGUCUGAGAGGCUGAUCCGCCACACUGGGACUGAGACACGGCCCAGACUCCUACGGGAGGCAGCGGUGGGGAAUAUUGGACAAUGGGGGGAACCCUGAUCCAGCCAUGCCGCGUGUGUGAAGAGGGCCUUAUGGUUGUAAAGCACUUUAAGCGAGGAGGAGGCUCUUUUGGUUAAUACCCAAGAUGAGUGGACGUUACUCGCAGAAUAAGCACCGGCUAACUCUGUGCCAGCCGCCGCAGUAA